rnacentral:rRNA from 1 species
GAUGAACGCUGGCGGCGUGCUUAACACAUGCAAGUCGAACGAGAAAUGUAGACGGAAACCUUCGGGCGGAAGCCUUCAUUUCGAGUGGCGGACGGGUGAGUAACGCGUGGGUAACCUGCCUCAUACAGGGGGAUAACAGUUGGAAACGACUGUUAAUACCGCAUAAGACCACAGCAUCGCAUGAUGCGGGGGUAAAAACUCCGGUGGUAUGAGAUGGACCCGCGUUCGAUUAGCCAGUUGGCGGGGUAACGGCCCACCAAAGCGACGAUCGAUAGCCGAUCUGAGAGGAUGACCGGCCACAUUGGGACUGAGACACGGCCCAGACUCCUACGGGAGGCAGCAGUGGGGAAUAUUGCACAAUGGGGGAAACCCUGAUGCAGCGACGCCGCGUGAGUGAAGAAGUUCUUCGGUAUGUAAAGCUCUAUCAGCAGGGAAGAAAAUGACGGUACCUGAGUAAGAAGCCCCGGCUAACUACGUG